ACGAAUAAUGCAUUUCGACCUCAUAUAAUCUUGGGAAUAUGGCCCAUAAGUUUCUACCUAGUAACCGUAAAUAACUAGACUAUGAGGGAAAGUGAUGCCUUG
rnacentral:ncRNA from 2 species